rfam:Salmo salar isolate Sally breed double haploid chromosome ssa12, whole genome shotgun sequence.
UGCACGCAUGACUGUAAGUCGCUUUGGAUAAAAGUGUUUGCUAAAUUGUAUAUA